rnacentral:rRNA from 1 species
CCUACGGGUGGCAGCAGUGGGGGAUAUUGCACAAUGGGGGGAACCCUGAUGCAGCGACGCCGCGUGGGUGAAGGAGUGCUUCGGCAUGUAAAGCCCUAUCGGCAGGGAAGAAGCAAGACGGUACCUGACUAAGAACCCCCGGCUAACGACGUACCAGCACCCGCGGUAAUACGUAGGGGGCGAGCGUUCUCCGGAUGCACUGGGUGGAAAGGGGGCGGAGACGGCCCAGCAAGCAAGGGGUGAAAGCCCGGGGCUCAACCCCGGGACUGCCCUUGGGACUGGCUGGCUGGAGUGCGGGAGGGGCAGGGGGAAGUCCGGGUGUAGCGGUGAAAUGCGUAGAUAUCAGGAGGAACACCGGCGGCGAAGGCGGCCUGCUGGACCGCGACUGACGUUGAGGCUCGAAAGCGUGGGGAGCGAACAGGAUUAGAUACCCCGGUAGUC